UCCCUCCAAUUUAUCCAGAAAAGGAGCGC
rnacentral:piRNA from 1 species